UACGUAGGUGGCAAGCGUUGUCCGGAUUUAUUGGGUUUAAAGGGCGCGUAGGCGGCGCGGUAAGUCACUUGUGAAAUCUCUGAGCUUAACUCAGAACGGCCAAGUGAUACUGCAGUGCUAGAGUGCAGAAGGGGCAAUCGGAAUUCUUGGUGUAGCGGUGAAAUGCGUAGAUAUCAAGAGGAACACCUGAGGUGAAGACGGGUUGCUGGGCUGACACUGACGCUGAGGCGCGAAAGCCAGGGGAGCAAACGGG
rnacentral:rRNA from 1 species